rnacentral:rRNA from 1 species
UGGGGAAUUUUGGACAAUGGGCGAAAGCCUGAUUCAGCAAUGCCGCGUGUGUGAAGAAGGCCUUCGGGUUGUAAAGCACUUUUGUCCGGAAAGAAAUCCUUGGCUCUAAUACAGUCGGGGGAUGACGGUACCGGAAGAAUAAGCACCGGCUAACUACGUGCCAGCAGCCGCGGUAAUACGUAGGGUGCAAGCGUUAAUCGGAAUUACUGGGCGUAAAGCGUGCGCAGGCGGUUUGCUAAGACCGAUGCGAAAUCCCCCGGGCUCAACCUGGGAACUGCAUUGGUGACUGGCAGGCUAGAGUAUGGCAGAGGGGGGUAGAAUUCCACGUNUAGCAGUGAAAUGCGUAGAGAUGUGGAGGAAUACCGAUGGCGAAGGCAGCCCCCUGGGCCAAUACUGACGCUCAUGCACGAAAGCGUGGGGAGCAAAACAGGAUUAGAUACCCUGGUAGUCCACGCCCUAAACGAUGUCAAACUAGUUGUUGGGGAUUCAUUUUCCUUAGU